rnacentral:rRNA from 1 species
UACAGAGGUGGCAAGCGUUGUUCGGAAUUACUGGGCGUAAAGGGCGCGUAGGCGGUUCGGUAAGUCCUGUGUGAAAUCCCUCGGCUCAACUGAGGAACUGCACGGGAGACUGCCGGGCUUGAGUUCGGGAGAGGGAAGCGGAAUUCCGGGUGUAGCGGUGAAAUGCGUAGAUAUCCGGAGGAACACCGGUGGCGAAGGCGGCUUCCUGGACCGACACUGACGCUGAGGUGCGAAAGCGUGGGGAGCAAACAGG